UGGGGCGUCGUCAAGCGGUAAGACACGGGCCUUUGACGCCCGCAUUCGAAGGUUCGAAUCCUUCCGCCCCAACCA
rnacentral:tRNA from 1 species